GUCAACUUCUGUGGGCUGCUCAUCUAUUUCAAUUGGCCGAUCGUUAAAGAGCAAGGUCGUCUUCGACUCUUCCAAUUCAUCGGAAUCAAUUCGACUGCAAAUCGUUGUUUCUCUUAAAUUAAUCAUCAUCAUUCACUCCCAUUCAUUCUAUAACAUUCUUCAAUACCAUCUUAAUUAGAUGCAUCCUUCCACCUCCCUUUGUUUCUUCACAUAUAUAAAUCCUUUUGUAUCAGUUCACUUCGAACCAUAGUCUACAUCCUCCAUACGACAACAUUGAUCGACAUCCAUGAUAUCUGCUCAUGCUUCCGGGAAGUCUCAAGUUGCCCUCAUCGGUAUGUGUUCUCUCAUCUAAUCGUGCUCCACGAUACGAGCCUCAACUCAAAACAGGAGCUAAUUACAGCCUUCAGAAUUUCUUCGCAACCACAAUCGACUAGAUGAACUAUUGGAUUGUAACUCAGAGAUUGCUAAGCUGGUGAAUGAGGAAGAGGUAACUAAGUCUGAGACAAAGGAUCCGCCAAGGUAGAACUUGAGCUGUAGAUAUGCAACUCAAAUCAACAUGCCUAACUACAUAUAUCACCUGGUCGUUGCCGAACGCAGGAUGUGUCUUUUUUUUGUCUAUAACUGUUACAAAAGUUGUCUCUUUCUACCACCUCGGACAAUCCCACAGAUUAAACCACAUUUGCUGCAACUGCUGAAUUGCCCCUUCUCUCCGCAAAUGUUUUUGUAUGUAUCUUCCAAAGGAUGUCGAGACCUUGCUGAUGAGGGAAAUGGCGGCUCAAGUAACAGUCACGAAGCACAGGAAGCCAAACAUGCUACACAUGGCAAAUAGUGCAUCAAUCGUUCAUCCCAUAGAUUGGGUUUCUGUUUCACUUUCCUUCCAGUUCUUAAGUUUUGUUCUGUUAUUGCUAUGUAAGAGGUCCUUUACAUCUUAAUUAUUUCGACAUAGCUCAAGUUAGACAAUGGACUUAACCCAACACCUUAUGGCACGAGCUGACGACGUAUCUACUCGUUACGGAAUCUCAGGUGUCAAGAUCUUCCUCUGUUCGAUAUGGGGUGAACUGCGCCUUACCACUUGCAGAGGGAGCAAGUGUAGUAUGGUGUAGUUGUAGGCACUUCUAGGCCGUCAUUUUUAUGCUUUGUCUGAUUUUGUGGUUUUAAUUGUUUUCUCAUUGUUAGCUCGCACCCCUUGACCCAACCAACAAGAAGAAGAUGAAAGUUGUCAUUUUGGAUCCUAUCGAGGACUCAACAGAGUCACAAGCGGAGAAAACUGAUUCAUCCCCUCGAGUAUAUGUGCCGUGAAACUUUGGCUGUUUCUUUUCAAUUGUACAUACAUUGUUUUGUUUUUAUUUAUUUUCACUGCAGCUUUUGAUGCCCUUCAGAGUUCAUUUGUUGGACAGAACUCAGUGAGUGUUCUAACGUCUUGCCUCUUUUAAAUUCUUUUUUUUUUGAAACUGAAGUUCUGAUGAUUAUGUGUCUUGCUUAAUUUUUUUUUCCAAUGGGUGGGUUUAAUCAACCUCACAUUUACAUGGUAUUUUUAAAUUCCUUUCUUUGCUAACUAACUGUUUUUACCGGCAUGCAUUUAAAUACCUAAAUUCGUGGCCUUAUUCUACUGUCGAUUAACUAUAGAUUCCAACGACAUCAUAUCUUCACAGCCAAAAAAAUGGGGAGAUGAACAUGGCGACUGGAGGCCAUCUUGGAAACUGCAGCGAAUCAUACUUGACACUACAAGGUGCUCCAGGUCAUCAAGAAACUUCUCUAUUUACUUAACCAAGGGGAGUCAUUCACCAAGUCUAAGACAAUGGUUUGGGAGAAUACUCUACUUGAUCUUGAAGGAAUUGUCUCCAAGAGCUGAGAAGAAUAGAGUAGGCCAGAGCUGGAAUUCUUGAACAGCAAUAUGAUCUUUGCAAACUUAGCCAGGCUUCGGCUUAUAGCUUCCUGAGGCUGUUCUAUUGUACCCGGUUUCUCAACUGAGGGAAGAGUUAUGGUGGUAGACAUUGUAAGGGUGGGGAGGUUGGAAGAUAAUGCAACAGAAAAAGAACCAAAUUAAGAAAAGGAAUGCUCUGAUUUUAGAAAACCAUGUGACAAACUAUUAUUCUUAGUUGUAAAGGAGUUAACUUUUAAUAUACUAAGAUACUCUACUUCA